rnacentral:rRNA from 1 species
AGAGUUUGAUCAUGGCUCAGAGUGAACGCUGGCGGCAGGCUUAACACAUGCAAGUCGAACGCCCCGCAAGGGGAGUGGCAGACGGGUGAGUAACACGUGGGAAUUUUCCCUUUAGUUCAGAAUAGCCCUGGGAAACUGGGAGUAAUACUGAAUAUUCUCUUCGGAGGAAAGAUUUAUCGCUAAAGGAUAAGCCCGCGGCAGAUUAGCUAGUUGGUGGGGUAAUGGCCUACCAAGGCGACGAUCUGUAGCUGGUCUGAGAGGAUGAUCAGCCACACCGGAACUGAGACACGGUCCGGACUCCUACGGGAGGCAGCAGUGAGGAAUAUUGGACAAUGGGGGCAACCCUGAUCCAGCCAUGCCGCGUGAGUGAUGAAGGCCUUCGGGUUGUAAAACUCUUUAAGUGGGGAAGAUAAUGACGGUACCCACAGAAUAAGCCACGGCAAACUUCGUGCCAGCAGCCGCGGUAAUACGAAGGUGGCAAGCGUUACUCGGAAUUACUGGGCGUAAAGCGUGUGUAGGUGGGAAACUGUGUCAGGGGUGAAAUCCCGGGGCUUAACCUCGGAAUUGCCUUUGAAACUGGUUUUCUUGAGUAUAGUAGAGGAUGGGUGGAAUUUCCAGUGUAGAGGUGAAAUUCGUAGAUAUUGGAAGGAACAUCGGCGGCGAAGGCGACCAUCUGGGCUAUUACUGACACUGAGACACGAAAGCGUGGGGAGCAAACGGGAUUAGAUACCCCGGUAGUCCACGCUGUAAACGAUGAGUGCUAGUUAUCAGGCUUUAGGUCUGGUGACACAGUUAACACGUUAAGCACUCCGCCUGGGGAGUACGGUCGCAAGAUUAAAACUCAAAGGAAUUGACGGGGACCCGCACAAGCGGUGGAGCAUGUGGUUUAAUUCGAUGCUACGCGAAAAACCUUACCACCUUUUGACAUCCCUAUCGCGCCCUUUGUAAUGGAAGGGCUUCGGUUCGGCCGGAUAGGAGACAAGUGUUGCAUGGCUGUCGUCAGCUCGUGUCGUGAGAUGUUGGGUUAAGUCCCGCAACGAGCGCAACCCUCAUCCUUAGUUGCCAACGGGUUAUGCCGGGAACUCUAGGGAAACUGCCCGUGACAAGCGGGAGGAAGGUGGGGAUGACGUCACGUCAUCAUGGCCUUUACAAGGUGGGCUACACACGUGCUACAAUGGCGGUGACAAUGGGUUGCUACCUCGCGAGAGGAUGCUAAUCUCUAAAAGCCGCCUCAGUUCAGAUUGUAGUCUGCAACUCGACUACAUGAAGUCGGAAUCGCUAGUAAUCGUGGAUCAGCAUGCCACGGUGAAUACGUUCCCGGGUCUUGUACACACUGCCCGUCACGCCAUGGAAGCUGGUUCUACCUUAAGCUGGUGAGCUAACUGCAAAGAGGCAGCCAACCACGGUAGUGUCAGUGACUGGGGUGAAGUCGUAACAAGGUA